CCUACGGGCGGCUGCAGUGGGGAAUAUUGGACAAUGGGCGAAAGCCUGAUCCAGCCAUGCCGCGUGUGUGAAGAAGGCCUUCGGGUUGUAAAGCACUUUCAGUGGGGAAGAAAGCCUUGGGGCUAAUACCCUCGAGGAAGGACAUCACCCACAGAAGAAGCACCGGCUAACUCCGUGCCAGCAGCCGCGGUAAUACGGAGGGUGCGAGCGUUAAUCGGAAUUACUGGGCGUAAAGCGCGCGUAGGCGGUCUGAUAAGCCGGUUGUGAAAGCCCCGGGCUCAACCUGGGAACGGCAUCCGGAACCGUCAGGCUAGAGUGCAGGAGAGGAAGGUAGAAUUCCCGGUGUAGCGGUGAAAUGCGUAGAGAUCGGGAGGAAUACCAGUGGCGAAGGCGGCCUUCUGGACUGACACUGACGCUGAGGUGCGAAAGCGUGGGUAGCAAACAGGAUUAGAUACCCCGGUAGUC
rnacentral:rRNA from 1 species